rnacentral:tRNA from 1 species
GGGGUUGUAGUUCAGUUGGUUAGAACAUCCCGCUCAUAACGGGCAGGUCGUGGGUUCGAGUCCCACCCACCCCA